rnacentral:rRNA from 1 species
AAAUUGAAGAGUUUGAUCAUGGCUCAGAUUGAACGCUGGCGGCAGGCCUAACACAUGCAAGUCGAGCGGAAACGAGUUAACUGAACUUUCGGGGGACGUUAACGGCGUCGAGCGGCGGACGGGUGAGUAAUGCCUAGGAAAUUGCCCUGAUGUGGGGGAUAACCAUUGGAAACGAUGGCUAAUACCGCAUGAUGCCUACGGGCCAAAGAGGGGGACCUUCGGGCCUCUCGCGUCAGGAUAUGCCUAGGUGGGAUUAGCUAGUUGGUGAGGUAAGGGCUCACCAAGGCGACGAUCCCUAGCUGGUCUGAGAGGAUGAUCAGCCACACUGGAACUGAGACACGGUCCAGACUCCUACGGGAGGCAGCAGUGGGGAAUAUUGCACAAUGGGCGCAAGCCUGAUGCAGCCAUGCCGCGUGUGUGAAGAAGGCCUUCGGGUUGUAAAGCACUUUCAGUCGUGAGGAAGGUAGUGUAGUUAAUAGCUGCAUUAUUUGACGUUAGCGACAGAAGAAGCACCGGCUAACUCCGUGCCAGCAGCCGCGGUAAUACGGAGGGUGCGAGCGUUAAUCGGAAUUACUGGGCGUAAAGCGCAUGCAGGUGGUUUGUUAAGUCAGAUGUGAAAGCCCGGGGCUCAACCUCGGAAUAGCAUUUGAAACUGGCAGACUAGAGUACUGUAGAGGGGGGUAGAAUUUCAGGUGUAGCGGUGAAAUGCGUAGAGAUCUGAAGGAAUACCGGUGGCGAAGGCGGCCCCCUGGACAGAUACUGACACUCAGAUGCGAAAGCGUGGGGAGCAAACAGGAUUAGAUACCCUGGUAGUCCACGCCGUAAACGAUGUCUACUUGGAGGUUGUGGCCUUGAGCCGUGGCUUUCGGAGCUAACGCGUUAAGUAGACCGCCUGGGGAGUACGGUCGCAAGAUUAAAACUCAAAUGAAUUGACGGGGGCCCGCACAAGCGGUGGAGCAUGUGGUUUAAUUCGAUGCAACGCGAAGAACCUUACCUACUCUUGACAUCCAGAGAACUUUUCAGAGAUGAAUUGGUGCCUUCGGGAACUCUGAGACAGGUGCUGCAUGGCUGUCGUCAGCUCGUGUUGUGAAAUGUUGGGUUAAGUCCCGCAACGAGCGCAACCCUUAUCCUUGUUUGCCAGCGAGUAAUGUCGGGAACUCCAGGGAGACUGCCGGUGAUAAACCGGAGGAAGGUGGGGACGACGUCAAGUCAUCAUGGCCCUUACGAGUAGGGCUACACACGUGCUACAAUGGCGCAUACAGAGGGCGGCCAACUUGCGAAAGUGAGCGAAUCCCAAAAAGUGCGUCGUAGUCCGGAUUGGAGUCUGCAACUCGACUCCAUGAAGUCGGAAUCGCUAGUAAUCGUGGAUCAGAAUGCCACGGUGAAUACGUUCCCGGGCCUUGUACACACCGCCCGUCACACCAUGGGAGUGGGCUGCAAAAGAAGUAGGUAGUUUAACCUUCGGGGGGACGCUUACCACUUUGUGGUUCAUGACUGGGGUGAAGUCGUAACAAGGUAGCGCUAGGGGAACCUGGCGCUGGAUCACCUCCUUAUACGAUGAU